GACGGAGGGUGCAAGCGUUGUUCGGAAUUACUGGGCGUAAAGGGCGCGUAGGCGGUCUGUUAAGUUCGGUGUGAAAGCCCCCGGCUCACCUGGGGAACUGCGCCGGAAACCGACAGACUCGAGUACCGGAGAGGAGGGUGGAAUUCCUGGUGUAGCGGUGAAAUGCGUAGAUAUCAGGAGGAACACCGGUGGCGAAGGCGGCCCUCUGGACGGAUACUGACGCUGGAGGCGCGAAAGCGUGGGGAUCAAACAGG
rnacentral:rRNA from 1 species